UACAGAGGGGCGAGCGUUGUUCGGAAUCACUGGGUGUAAAGGGUGCGUAGGCGGUCAGUUAAGUCUGAUGUGAAAGCCCUCGGCUCAACUGGGGAAUGGCAUUGGAAACUAGCUGGCUGGAGUACCGGAGAGGGAAGCGGAAUUCCUGGUGUAGCGGUGAAAUGCGUAGAUACCAGGAGGAACACCGGUGGCGGAAGGCGGCUUCCUGGCCGAGUACUGACGCUGAGGCACGGAAAGCGUGGGGGAGCGAACGGG
rnacentral:rRNA from 1 species